AGCAGCCGCGGUAAUUCCAGCUCCAAUAGUGUAUAUUAAAGUUGUUGCAGUUAAAAAGCUCGUAGUUGAAUUUCGGGGUUAGUAGAUUGGUCGUGCCACUGGUAUGCACUGGUCUUACUGAUUCCUCCUUCCUGAUGAACCGUAAUGCCAUUAAUUUGGUGUUGCGGGAGACUGGACUGUUACUUUGAAAAAUUGAGUGUUAAAGCAGGCUAACGCUUGAAUACAUUAGCAUGGAAUAAUGAAAUAGGACGUUCGAUCCUAUUUGUUGGUUUCUAGGAUUGACGUAAUGAUUAAUAGGAUAGUGGGGCAUUAGUAUUCAAUUGUCAGAGGU
rnacentral:rRNA from 1 species